rnacentral:rRNA from 1 species
AGAUAUGAUCCAGAGUACCACGGGACACGUGAAACCCUGUGGGAAGCAGGAGGGACCACCCUCCAAGGCUAAAUACUACCUAGUGACCGAUAGCGUAUAGUACCGUGAGGGAAAGGUGAAAAGAACCCCGGGAGGGGAGUGAAAUAGAACCUGAAACCCUGCACUUACAAGCUGUGGAAGCACAUUUCUUGUGUGACCGCGUACUUUUUGUAGAACGGGCCAACGAGUUACGUUAAGUAGCAAGGUUAAGCACUUAAGGUGCGGAGCCGUAGCGAAAGCGAGUUUUAACUGAGCGUUCAGUUACUUGACGUAGACCCGAAACCGGGCGACCUACCCAUGAGCAGGAUGAAGCGAAAGUAAAAUUUCGUGGAGGUCCGAACCCACGAGCGUUGAAAAGCUCGGGGAUGACUUGUGGGUAGCGGUGAAAUUCCAAUCGAGCCCGGAGAUAGCUGGUUCUCCCCGAAAUAGCUUUAGGGCUAGCCUCAAGGUGAGAGAUACGGAGGUAGAGCACUGAAUGUCCUAGGGGGUAUUGCACCUACCGAAGACUAU